GAUGAACGCUGGCGGCGUGCUUAACACAUGCAAGUCGAACGAUGAUCUCCAGCUUGCUGGGGGGAUUAGUGGCGAACGGGUGAGUAACACGUGAGUAACCUGCCCUUAACUCUGGGAUAAGCCUGGGAAACUGGGUCUAAUACCGGAUAUGACUUGUCAACCGCAUGGUGGUGGGUGGAAAAGUCUUUUUGGUGGUUUUGGAUGGACUCGCGGCCUAUC
rnacentral:rRNA from 1 species